rnacentral:rRNA from 1 species
AUGUCUAGCUUGACUUCGGCCACCCACCAAUCAUGGACACAGUACGGUCCACUAUCGUUGAGAAGAUGCCCUGAUUGCCCGUGCAUGGAGCCUCUGAAGCGUUUGACUUGUGAGGGAAGAAAAUGGCAACCAUGGGUGCGAGUUUGUGAAAUGUUUGAGCAAGCCACAGCCGUGGCAGGUUCAGAAGAAAUGUGGGCAUUUUGA